ensembl:snRNA U2 U2 spliceosomal RNA
AUUGCUUUUCGGCCUUUUGGCUAAGAUCAAGUGUAGUAUCUGUAUGCAAGAUUUUAUUCCCCCUUAAAACUUUUGCUGUUACGAUUUUCAAGUAGUUUCAAAUCACUGCUAUGCCGCCCCCAUGAUGAAGAGGCCAAGACUUUUGCAUUAGAAAUCUUCAGUACUUCUAGGAUUGCAA